CUCAGAUUUACAAGAGUAACACUCUUGAAGGGGGAUUUUCCUGGAGUGGUACUUGAGGAAAGUCGUUUUUUAGUUUUUCCAGGGGUUUUCAUAAUAAAUGGGAAAAAAUGUGAAUAUUUAUGAAAAAAUGCUUUUUAAUUUUAUAUUUUGUUUUGUUAUAAUUCAGUUUAAAAUUUUUGUACAGACUCAAAAUUUGGAUAGAGAAAUUAGAUUUGCUUUUUAUAUACGUGAUAAAAUUUUCAAAACAUUUGACCCAUUUAAAUUUUUAUUAUGCAAUACCUAUUUAUUUGGUAGGAUGAUACAAUUGUUAGACCAACUAGAAAUGCUUGGUAAUUUAACAGGCCGUUUAUUGAAAGUUGUACUUAGUGGUUAACAAUAAAAAGUUGAGUUUAAUGUAAUAUUUUUUUUUUUUUUUUACAAGAAUUUUAAUAUCAAAUUUCAAAGAAAAUCGUAAAUCGUACUACCAAACAUGUAUAACCUUGACCUUAUGGCCUUGGUUCUAUGUGUAUAACCGAAUUUCGCUCAGAAUCAUUUUUCG